rnacentral:rRNA from 1 species
AAAUAAGCAUAUCAAUAAGCGGAGGAAAAGAAACCAACAGGGAUUGCCCUAGUAACGGCGAGUGAAGCGGCAACAGCUCAAAUUUGAAAUCUGGCGUCUUCGGCGUCCGAGUUGUAAUUUGCAGAGGGCGCUUUGGCAUUGGCAGCGGUCCAAGUUCCUUGGAACAGGACGUCACAGAGGGUGAGAAUCCCGUACGUGGUCGCUAGCCUUUACCGUGUAAAGCCCCUUCGACGAGUCGAGUUGUUUGGGAAUGCAGCUCUAAAUGGGAGGUAAAUUUCUUCUAAAGCUAAAUACUGGCCAGAGACCGAUAGCGCACAAGUAGAGUGAUCGAAAGAUGAAAAGCACUUUGGAAAGAGAGUUAAAAAGCACGUGAAAUUGUUGAAAGGGAAGCGCUUGCAGCCAGACUUGCCUGUAGUUGCUCAUCCGGGUUUCUACCCGGUGCACUCUUCUAUAGGCAGGCCAGCAUCAGUUUGGGCGGUUGGAUAAAGGUCUCUGUCAUGUACCUCUCUUCGGGGAGAACUUAUAGGGGAGACGACAUGCAACCAGCCUGGACUGAGGUCCGCGCAUCUGCUAGGAUGCUGGCGUAAUGGCUGUAAGCGGCCCGUCUUGAAACACGGACCAAGGAGUCUAACAUCUAUGCGAGUGUUUGGGUGUCAAGCCCGAGCGCGUAAUGAAAGUGAACGGAGGUGGGAACCUUUCGGGGUGCACCAUCGACCGAUCCUGAUGUCUUCGGAUGGAUUUGAGUAAGAGCAUAGCUGUUGGGACCCGAAAGAUGGUGAACUAUGCUUGAAUAGGGUGAAGCCAGAGGAAACUCUGGUGGAGGCUCGCAGCGGUUCUGACGUGCAAAUCGAUCGUCAAAUUUGGGCAUAGGGGCGAAAGACUAAUCGAACUAUCUAGUAGCUGGUUCCUGCCGAUUCCCCCCU